UCCAAACAGACACUGAUGGCACCUUCUGCCAUUUAGGAAUUUGUUUUAAAACAGACAUUUGUCUAGAUAUUUCCUUUGUGGCCUCCUCCCCAUCAAAAGUCAAUCAAACAUCG